rnacentral:rRNA from 1 species
GACGAACGCUGGCGGCGUGCCUAAUACAUGCAAGUCGAACGCUGAAGGAGGAGCUUGCUUCCCUGGAUGUGUUGCGAACGGGUGAGUAACGCGUAGGUAACCUGCCUGGUAGCGGGGGAUAACUCUUGGAAACGAUAGCUAAUACCGCAUAUUAGUAGAUGAUGCACGACAUUUGCUUAAAAAAUGCAGUUGUAUCUCUACUAGAUGGACCUGCGUUGUAUUAGCUAGUUGGUGGGGUAACGGCUCCUUAAGGCGACGAUACAUCGUCGGCCUUGGAGGGGGGUCGGCCAACCUGGGAAGUGGACACGGCUCAGAAUGCUUCGGGAGGCAGCAGGAGGGAAUCUUCGGCAAUGGACGGAAGUCUUACCGAGCAACGCCGCGUUGGUGAAGAAGGGUUUCGGAUCGGAAAGCCCUGUUAUUUGGGAAGAACGAAGGUUAGAGUGGAAAGUGCACACUGUGACGGUAUCUUACCAGAAAGGGACGGCUAACUACGUG